ACGUGCAACAUACACACACCUGGCCGGAGGCUGCACAGCGCGGAGGGAACUGUCGGUCACCCCCCACCCCACGGGCCGCCCCCAACACCUCCCCUCAGCCAGCGGCCCUCCAGCUGGGGCACCCCUCCGGCCCCUCACGUCCGCCGCGCACAGCCGGCUCCCGCUACCAGGUAUAAAAUAUUAGAAACAAACAAAAAGGGAGAGAAAAAAGAAGAAGCCUUUAAUUGUGAUGUACAAAUUCAUAUAUUUGGAUAAAGGAAAAUAGAGACCAAGAGAGGAGAGUGUGAGAGCUAAAUUGAAAAACAUUUGGAAUUCCUGGAGCAGUGGUCUUUAAACUGGGCUGAUGGAAUAAACCUGGCCUGGAAACAUCACCUCUCCUGGGCUCCAUUUUAUCAUUGCUGAGUUGGAAAGAGGGAGCAAUUGUCAGAUCCCUUGCUGGCCACUGUGGGUGAAGCCCAGAUCAUUAACCCUGGACCUCAAAGUCUUCAGAUCAGAUAAGACUGCCUAUCUAAAUUACCACAUGACCCAGCAAUCCCACUACUGGGCAUAUACCCAGAGAAAACCAUAAUUCAAAAAGACACAUGCACCCCAAUGUUCAUUGCAGCACUAUUUACAAUAGCCAGGUCACGGAAGCAACCUAAAUGCCCAUCAACAGACGAAUGGAUGAAGAAGAUGUGGUACAUAUAUACAAUGGAAUAUUACUCAGCCAUGAAAAGGAACGAAAUUGGGUCAUUUGUAGAGACGUGGAUGGACCUAUAGACUGUCAUACAGAGUGAAGUAAGUCACAAUGAGAAAAACAAAUAUCGUAUAUUAACGCAUGUAUGUGGAAUCUAGAAAAAUGGUACAGAUGAACUGGUUUGCAAGGCAGAAAUAGAGACACAGAUGUAGAGAACAAACAUAUGGACACCA